rnacentral:rRNA from 1 species
AUUCCAGCUCCAAUAGCGUAUAUUAAAGUUGUUGCAGUUAAAAAGCUCGUAGUUGGACUUCUGGGCCGUUUUGUUGGUCUGCCGCAAGGCUGCACUAGCGGGAUGGCCCAUCCUCUCGAAGGCUGGGGGUGCUCUUAACUGGGUGCUUUCAGAACUCGGGAUCUUUACUUUGAAAAAAUUAGAGUGUUCAAAGCAGGCUUACGCUUGAAUACAUUAGCAUGGAAUAAUGGAAUAGGACUUUGGUUCUAUUUUGUUGGUUUCUAGAACUGAAGUAAUGAUUAAUAGGGAUAGUUGGGGGCAUUAGUAUUUAAUUGUCAGAGGUGAAAUUCUUGGAUUUAUGAAAGACUAACUUCUGCGAAAGCAUUUGCCAAGGAUGUUUUCAUUA